UAGGGAAUCUUCGGCAACGGACGAAAGUCUGACCGAGCAACGCCGCGUGAGUGAAGAAGGUUUUCGGAUCGUAAAACUCUGUUGGUAGAGAAGAACGUUGGUGAGAGUGGAAAGCUCAUCAAGUGACGGUAACUACCCAGAAAGGGACGGCUAACUACGUGCCAA
rnacentral:rRNA from 1 species